UACGUAGGGGGCAAGCGUUAUCCGGAUUUACUGGGUGUAAAGGGGGCGCAGACGGCGAUGCAAGCCAGGAGUGAAAGCCCGGGGCCCAACCCCGGGACUGCAUUUGGAACUGUAUAGCUAGAGUGUCGGAGAGGCAGGCGGAAUUCCUAGUGUAGCGGUGAAAUGCGUAGAUAUUAGGAGGAACACCAGUGGCGAGGGCGGCCUGCUGGACGAUGACUGACGUUGAGGCUCGAAAGCGUGGGGAGCAAACAGG
rnacentral:rRNA from 1 species